rnacentral:rRNA from 1 species
UACGUAGGGUGCGAGCGUUGUCCGGAAUUAUUGGGCGUAAAGAGCUCGUAGGCGGUGUGUCACGUCGGCCGUGAAAACCUGCAGCUUAACUGUGGGCGUGCGGUCGAUACGGGCAUCACUGGAGUUCGGCAGGGGAGACUGGAAUUCCUGGUGUAGCGGUGAAAUGCGCAGAUAUCAGGAGGAACACCGGUGGCGAAGGCGGGUCUCUGGGCCGAUACUGACGCUGAGGAGCGAAAGCGUUGGGAGCAAACAGG